rnacentral:rRNA from 1 species
CAGUCGAGGGGCAGCAUGGUCUUAGCUUGCUAAGGCCGAUGGCGACCGGCGCACGGGUGAGUAACACGUAUCCAACCUGCCGUCUACUCAUGGACAGCCUUCUGAAAGGAAGAUUAAUACAAGAUGGCAUCAUGAGUCCACAUGUUCACAUGAUUAAAGGUAUUCCGGUAGACGAUGGGGAUGCGUUCCAUUAGAUAGUAGGCGGGGUAACGGCCCACCUAGUCUUCGAUGGAUAGGGGUUCUGAGAGGAAGGUCCCCCACAUUGGAACUGAGACACGGUCCAAACUCCUACGGGAGGCAGCAGUGAGGAAUAUUGGUCAAUGGGCGAGAGCCUGAACCAGCCAAGUAGCGUGAAGGAUGACUGCCCUAUGGGUUGUAAACUUCUUUUAUAAAGGAAUAAAGUCGGGUAUGGAUACCCGUUUGCAUGUACUUUAUGAAUAAGGAUCGGCUAACUCCGUGCCAGCAGCCGCGGUAAUACGGAGGAUCCGAGCGUUAUCCGGAUUUAUUGGGUUUAAAGGGAGCGUAGAUGGAUGUUUAAGUCAGUUGUGAAAGUUUGCGGCUCGACCGUAAAAUUGCAGUUGAUACUGGAUAUCUUGAGUGCAGUUGAGGCAGGCGGAAUUCGUGGUGUAGCGGUGAAAUGCUUAGAUAUCACGAAGAACUCCGAUUGCGAAGGCAGCCUGCUAAGCUGCAACUGACAUUGAGGCUCGAAAGUGUGGGUAUCAAACAGGAUUAGAUACCCUGGUAGUCCACACGGUAAACGAUGAAUACUCGCUGUUUGCGAUAUACUGCAAGCGGCCAAGCGAAAGCGUUA